CCGGCGGCUGGACCCGGACACCCGAGCUCCCUAAGGCCACCGUGAAGCCUUGGGCCCCGGUUUGUCCUGUGUGAGGGCAAGGAGAUGAGGAGAACAUUCCAGAAAGGGGAGGCGCAGAUCUUAGCUUCUUUCGCACAGUAGGGGAAAAUGAGGCUUCCCCAACCACAAAUAAGCCGGCCGAAACUAUAACUUGUUCUGAGGGAAGCAUUUGGUGCUGUGUGGGGCUGUUCGUGCAGGAUCUUUCUAGGUUUACUCAUCAAAAUUGCAUUCUCUGGUGGCUGGUGUCGUGAGAGAUGAAUAUUCAUAAGAAUUCCUGGAAAGCAACUGUGUCUGCAAAGACUGAUUUACUGAUUAGAACUGCAGUGAGAUGGAGAGAUUGGAAUUUUGCCUGGCCAGAGGCUCACCUUAGCUCAGCUAGCUCUAAAGCCCCCUGGAUAGCCAGCCAUUCCUUGAGCAGACCCCUAGCUAGCCCAACCCAAAAGCUGUCAUCAGAUAGCACUUGAGUCCUAUGGCAAAGCUCCCCCCAUCUUGCUGUAACUGCCUCUGCCAUGUACCCACCAACGUAUUACAAACUUGGCUUGA